AACGCGAAGAACCUUACCCAGGCUUGACUUCCUUGGAAUUUCUCCGAAAGGAGAGAGUGCUUUAUUGAACCAAGUGACAGGUGCUGCAUGGCCGUCGUCAGCUCGUGUCGUGAGAUGUUUGGUUAAGUCCAUCAACGAGCGCAACCCUUAUGUUUAGUUGAAUUUCUCUAAACAGACCGCCCUGGCAACAGGGAGGAAGGAGGGGAUGAUGUCAGGUCAGUAUUGCCCUUACGCCUGGGGCUACAAACACGCUACAAUGGCCGGUACAAAGGGCUGCCAAGUCGCGAGACGGAGCAAAUCCCAUCAAAGCCGGUCCCAGUUCGGAUUGUAGGCUGAAACUCGCCUACAUGAAGUCGGAAUCGCUAGUAAUGGUAGGUCAGCUAUACUACCGUGAAUACGUUCCCGGGCCUUGUACACACCGCGUGUCU
rnacentral:rRNA from 1 species